GGCCUGAUGGCCGAGUGGCUAAAGCUCUGGCACUCGGUAUGUUUGUAGUGGUUCGGAAUCCACUUUAAGCCA